rnacentral:rRNA from 1 species
AUUGAACGCUGGCGGCAUGCUUUACACAUGCAAGUCGAACGGGGGUGGCAAUACCCUAGUGGCGAACGGGUGAGUAAUGCAUCGGAACGUAUCCCGUAGAGGGGGACAACGAGUCGAAAGAUUCGCUAAUACCGCAUAUGCUCUACGGAGGAAAGUGGGGGACCCGCAAGGGCCUCACGCUAUGGGAGCGGCCGAUGUCCGAUUAGCUUGUUGGUGAGGUAAAGACUUACCAAGGCGACGAUCGGUAGCUGGUCUGAGAAGAUGAUCAGCCACACUGGGACUGAGACACGGCCCAGACUCCUACGGGAGGCAGCAGUGGGGAAUUUUGGACAAUGGGGGCAACCCUGAUCCAGCCAUGCCGCGUGAGUGAAGAAGGCCUUCGGGUUGUAAAGCUCUUUCGGUCGGAAAGAAAGCUUGCCUGUGAAUAAUGGGUGAGGUUGACGGUACCGGCAGAAGAAGCACCGGCUAACUACGUGCCAGCAGCCGCGGUAAAAC